UACGAAGGGGGCUAGCGUUGCUCGGAAUCACUGGGCGUAAAGCGCACGUAGGCGGAUUGCUAAGUCAGGGGUGAAAUCCUGGAGCUCAACUCCAGAACUGCCUUUGAUACUGGCGACCUUGAGUCCGGGAGAGGUGAGUGGAACUGCGAGUGUAGAGGUGAAAUUCGUAGAUAUUCGCAAGAACACCAGUGGCGAAGGCGGCUCACUGGCCCGAUACUGACGCUGAGGUGCGAAAGCGUGGGGAGCAAACAGG
rnacentral:rRNA from 1 species